GUGAAUCAUCAAAUUUUUGAACGCAAAUUGCACUUCUUGGUAUUCCGAGGAGUACAUCUGUUUGAGGGUCAGUUAAAACAACACGUGCAUCCUUUAUUUCACUGACCUGAGUAUUCCGAUUUUAUUAAUUGGUUAUCUAAAAUUAUAUAUAUUUAAUGUGAUGCUUUCUAUCUAUAGUAGCUAGAUAUAUAUACUUAUUACAUUACACCUUAAGUAUUUAGGUGGACGUGUUUUAAUUAUUGAGAAUGACC
rnacentral:misc_RNA from 1 species